CCUUCUACUGGUGACUAUUCCAGUUUUCUCAUCUAACGUUGCAAAAUUUGACUGCAGAUAAAAAGACAACAGAAAUGCAUUAAAUGAGAAAACCAACAAUGAGAAAUUGUGGGCUUUUUCUACCCUGACAGUUCACACAACUCUUUGUAUUAAUAUAUAGAUAAAACAUAAGAGACUAUUAGGUGGAAGAGAUUCAUUUUUAGCCCAUAAAAGUGGGAAACAAAAGUUAUAAAAUGCUCUGACUCCCUGACAUGCAGGAAAGUUUAAUGUGGAGAGCACAAUCCCAUGAAUAAAUAAAUAAAAA